rnacentral:rRNA from 1 species
AGCGAACGCUGGCGGCAGGCCUAAUACAUGCAAGUCGAGCGGGUGUAGCAAUACACCAGCGGCAGACGGGAGAGUAACACGUGGGAACGUGCCCUUCAGUUCGGAACAACCCAGGGAAACUUGGGCUAAUACCGGAUACGUCCGUAAGGAGAAAGAUUUAUCGCUGAAGGAUCGGCCCGCGUCUGAUUAGCUUGUUGGUGAGGUAAUGGCUCACCAAGGCGACGGUCAGUAGCUGGUCUGAGAGGAUGAUCAGCCUCACUGGGACUGAGACACGGCCCAGACUCCUACGGGAGGCAGCAGUAGGGAAUAUUGGACAAUGGGCGCAAGCCUGAUCCAGCCAUGCCGCGUGGGUGAUGAAGGCCCUAGGGUUGUAAAGCCCUUUCGGCGGGGAAGAUAAUGACGGUACCCGCAGAAGAAGCCCCGGCUAACUUCGUGCCAGCCGCCGCCGUAAAAC